rnacentral:rRNA from 1 species
UACGUAGGGGGCAAGCGUUGUCCGGAUUUAUUGGGCGUCAAGAGCUCGUAGGUGGUUCGUUAAGUCGGAUGUGAAAUCUCCAGGCUCAACCUGGAGGGGUCAUUCGAUACUGCCGUGACUAGAGGUCGGUAGGGGAGUGUGGAAUUCCUGGUGGAGCGGUGAAAUGCGCAGAUAUCAGGAGGAACACCCGUAGCGAAGGCGGCACUCUGGGCCGAUACUGACACUGAGGAGCGAAAGCGUGGGUAGCGAACAGG